CUUCAGUUUUAUCAUGUAUAUCUUUUGUAUAGUCAUCUUAUAAAAUUUACUGUUUGCAAAAGUAUAAAUUAUUCUAAAAUUUUAAACUUGUUGCCUUUUGUAAGCUAUUAUUCGUGUGUUUCUUUGUCAAUUGUGUACUCCUAUUUAUUUAUAUUGUAGUCCUGUAAUGUUGUGUUGUCAUUUUAAAUGUUAUAUUCACAAUGGCCAUAAAAAGAGGGAGGUUUGGCAUGCCACAAAACCAGGUUCAACCCACCAUUUUUUCCUUUAAAAAUGUCCUGUACCAAGUCAUGAAUAUGGCCAUUUGUUAUAUUAUAGUUCGUUUCUGUGUGUGUUACAUUUUAACGUUGUGUUUCCGUUGUGUCGUUUGUUUUCUUUUAUUUUUGAGUGUGAAUUCACAUUACUAUAAGACGUGUCACGGUACUUAUCUAUCCCAAAUUCUUGUAUUUGGUUUUGAUGUUAUAUUUGAUAUUCUCGUAGGAUUUCGUCUAAUGCUUAACUAGUCCGUUUCUCUGUGUGUUACAUUUUAAUGUUGUUUCGUUGUUCUCCUUUUAUAUUUAAUAGUUUCACUCAGUUUUAGAUUGUUACCCCGAUUUUGUUUUUUGUCCAUGGAUUUAUGAGUUUUGAACAGCGGUAUACUACUGUUGCCUUUAUUUAUAUAUCUAGUGAAUGCUUUCAAUAAAUUUCAAGCGAUAAUUGUAACAAUUAGUUCAUGCAUUUU
rnacentral:lncRNA from 1 species